AUUGAACGCUGGCGGCAGGCCUAACACAUGCAAGUCGAACGAGUGGCGGACGUGUGAGUCAUGUCUGGGAAACUGCCUGAUGGAUGGGGAUAACUACUGGAAACGGUAGCUAAUACCGCAUACCCUCGGAUGUGCCCAGAUGGGAUGAGCUAGUAGGGGGGGUAAAGGCUCACCUAGGCGAAGCUCCCUAGCUGGUCUGAGAGGAUGACCAGCGACACUGGAACUGAGCCACGGUCAAGAAUCCGACGGGAGGCAGCAGUGGGGAAUAUUGCACAAUGGGCGCAAGCCUGAUGCAGCCAUGCCGCGUGUGUGAAGAAGGUCUUCGGGUUGUAAAGUACUUUCAGCGGGGAGGCGUUACCCGCAGAAGAAGCACCGGCUAACUCCGUGCCAGCAGCCGCGGUAAUAC
rnacentral:rRNA from 1 species